GCAAUUCUGAUAAACAUUAUUAUAGAAAUUGGGGCCAAUUCAAUAGAAAUCGGUCGUACCUAGCCUCGAUUCACGUCGCAAACAUUGUCCAAUGAUUCAUGAAAACAUGCAAAGAGCAGAGUUGGCGCAUCUGAUCUUUCUUCUUCAGUGCCAGGCAUAAAGAGCUAGCACUAAGAGCAGGGGAUGAAUCUUUAUCGACUUCCUUUU
rnacentral:lncRNA from 1 species